rnacentral:rRNA from 1 species
GGAAGCACACCACCCUGAAAAUGCCUGAUCUCGUCUGAUCUCAGAAGCUAAGCAGGGUCAGGCUCGGUUAGUACUCGGACGGACUGCCUGGGGAUCCCGGGUGCUGCAGGCU